rnacentral:rRNA from 1 species
UACGUAGGGUGCAAGCGUUGUCCGGAAUUAUUGGGCGUAAAGAGCUCGUAGGCGGUCUGUCGCGUCUGGUGUGAAAACUCAAGGCUUAACCUUGGGCCUGCAUCGGGUACGGGCAGACUAGAGUGCGGUAGGGGAGACUGGAAUUCCUGGUGUAGCGGUGAAAUGCGCAGAUAUCGGGAGGAACACCGGUGGCGAAGGCGGUUCUCUGGGCCGAUACUGACGCUGAGGAGCGAAAGCGUGGGGAGCGAACAGG